UUCCGGUUGAUCCUGCCGGAGGUUACUGCUAUCGGUGUUCGCCUAAGCCAUGCGAGUCAUAUGUAGCAAUACAUGGCGUACUGCUCAGUAACACGUGGAUAACCUGCCCUUGGGUCCGGCAUAACCCCGGGAAACUGGGGAUAAUUCCGGAUAACGCACAUAUGCUGGAAUGCUUUAUGCGUCAAAUGGAUUCGUCUGCCCAAGGAUGGGUCUGCGGCCUAUCAGGUAGUAGUGGGUGUAAUGUACCUACUAGCCGACAACGGGUACGGGUUGUGAGAGCAAGAGCCCGGAGAUGGAUUCUGAGACAUGAAUCCAGGCCCUACGGGGCGCAGCAGGCGCGAAAACUUUACAAUGCGGGAAACCGUGAUAAGGGGACACCGAGUGUCAGCAUCAUAUGCUGGCUGUCCAGGUGUGUAAAAUACACCUGUUAGCAAGGGCCGGGCAAGACCGGUGCCAGCCGCCGCGGUAACACCGGCGGCCCGAGUGGUGAUCGUGAUUAUUGGGUCUAAAGGGUCCGUAGCCGGUUUGGUCAGUCCUCCGGGAAAUCUGAUAGCUCAACUAUUAGGCUAUCGGGGGAUACUGCCAGGCUUGGAACCGGGAGAGGUAAGAGGUACUACAGGGGUAGGAGUGAAAUCUUGUAAUCCCUGUGGGACCACCUGUGGCGAAGGCGUCUUACCAGAACGGGUUCGACGGUGAGGGACGAAAGCUGGGGGGCACGAACCGGAUUAGAUACCCGGGUAGUCCCAGCCGUAAACGAUGCUCGCUAGGUGUCAGCAUGGCGCGACCGUGUCUGGUGCCGCAGGGAAGCCGUGAAGCGAGCCACCUGGGAAGUACGGCCGCAAKGCUGAAACUUAAAGGAAUUGGCGGGGGAGCAC
rnacentral:rRNA from 1 species